GAUGAACGCUAGCUACAGGCUUAACACAUGCAAGUCGCGGGAACGGCGCACGGGUGAGUAACGCGUAUCCAACCUGCCCGUCACCACGGGAUAACCCGGCGAGAGUCGGACUAAUACCGUAUGGCGAAGGGUGGGGAUGCGUCGGAUUAGCUGGACGGCGGGGGAACGCCCCACCGUGGCUACGAUAGGUCGGGGUUCGGAGAGGAAGGUCCCCCACACUGGAACUGAGACACGGUCCAGACUCCUACGGGAGGCAGCAGUGAGGAAUAUUGGGCAAUGGGCGUAAGCCUGAACCAGCCAAGUAGCGUGCAGGACGACGGCCUAUGGGUUGUAAACUGCUUUUAUGCGGGGAUAGGUACCGCAUGAAUAAGGACCGGCUAAUUCCGUGCCAGCAGCCGCGGUAAUAC
rnacentral:rRNA from 1 species